GACGGGUGAGUAAUGCCUAGGAAUCUGCCUGGUAGUGGGGGACAACGUUUCGAAAGGAACGCUAAUACCGCAUACGUCCUACGGGAGAAAGCAGGGGACCUUCGGGCCUUGCGCUAUCAGAUGAGCCUAGGUCGGAUUAGCUAGUUGGUGGGGUAAUGGCUCACCAAGGCGACGAUCCGUAACUGGUCUGAGAGGAUGAUCAGUCACACUGGAACUGAGACACGGUCCAGACUCCUACGGGAGGCAGCAGUGGGGAAUAUUGGACAAUGGGCGAAAGCCUGAUCCAGCCAUGCCGCGUGUGUGAAGAAGGUCUUCGGAUUGUAAAGCACUUUAAGUUGGGAGGAAGGGCAGUAAGCUAAUACCUUGCUGUUUUGACGUUACCGACAGAAUAAGCACCGGCUAACUCUGUGCCAGCAGCCGCGGUAAUACAGAGGGUGCAAGCGUUAAUCGGAAUUACUGGGCGUAAAGCGCGCGUAGGUGGUUCGUUAAGUUGGAUGUGAAAGCCCCGGGCUCAACCUGGGAACUGCAUCCAAAACUGGCGAGCUAGAGUACGGUAGAGGGUGGUGGAAUUUCCUGUGUAGCGGUGAAAUGCGUAGAUAUAGGAAGGAACACCAGUGGC
rnacentral:rRNA from 1 species